rnacentral:rRNA from 1 species
UACGGAGGAUCCAAGCGUUAUCCGGAAUCAUUGGGUUUAAAGGGUCCGUAGGCGGUCUUAUAAGUCAGUGGUGAAAGCCCAUCGCUCAACGAUGGAACUGCCAUUGAUACUGUAAGACUUGAAUACUUGUGAAGUAACUAGAAUAUGUAGUGUAGCGGUGAAAUGCUUAGAUAUUACAUGGAAUACCAAUUGCGAAGGCAGGUUACUAACAAGUUAUUGACGCUGAUGGACGAAAGCGUGGGGAGCGAACAGGAUUAGAUACCCCUGUAGU